UACGAAGGGAGCUAGCGUUGUUCGGAUUCAUUGGGCGUAAAGGGUGCGUAGGUGGCGUCGUAAGUCGGGUGUGAAAUUUCGGAGCUUAACUCCGAAACUGCAUUCGAUACUGCGGUGCUUGAGGACUGGAGAGGAGACUGGAAUUUACGGUGUAGCAGUGAAAUGCGUAGAGAUCGUAAGGAAGACCAGUGGCGAAGGCGGGUCUCUGGACAGUUCCUGACACUGAGGCACGAAGGCCAGGGGAGCAAACGGG
rnacentral:rRNA from 1 species